rnacentral:rRNA from 2 species
CUAUACAUGCAGUCGAGCGAACAGAUAAGGAGCUUGCUCCUUUGACGUUAGCGGCGGACGGGUGAGUAACACGUGGGUAACCUACCUAUAAGACUGGGAUAACUUCGGGAAACCGGAGCUAAUACCGGAUAAUAUUUCGAACCGCAUGGUUCGAUAGUGAAAGAUGGUUUUGCUAUCACUUAUAGAUGGACCCGCGCCGUAUUAGCUAGUUGGUAAGGUAACGGCUUACCAAGGCGACGAUACGUAGCCGACCUGAGAGGGUGAUCGGCCACACUGGAACUGAGACACGGUCCAGACUCCUACGGGAGGCAGCAGUAGGGAAUCUUCCGCAAUGGGCGAAAGCCUGACGGAGCAACGCCGCGUGAGUGAUGAAGGUCUUCGGAUCGUAAAACUCUGUUAUUAGGGAAGAACAUACGUGUAAGUAACUGUGCACGUCUUGACGGUACCUAAUCAGAAAGCCACGGCUAACUACGUGCCAGCAGCCGCGGUAAUACGUAGGUGGCAAGCGUUAUCCGGAAUUAUUGGGCGUAAAGCGCGCGUAGGCGGUUUUUUAAGUCUGAUGUGAAAGCCCACGGCUCAACCGUGGAGGGUCAUUGGAAACUGGAAAACUUGAGUGCAGAAGAGGAAAGUGGAAUUCCAUGUGUAGCGGUGAAAUGCGCAGAGAUAUGGAGGAACACCAGUGGCGAAGGCGACUUUCUGGUCUGUAACUGACGCUGAUGUGCGAAAGCGUGGGGAUCAAACAGGAUUAGAUACCCUGGUAGUCCACGCCGUAAACGAUGAGUGCUAAGUGUUA